CUUGGCGGCGAUAGUGCAGUGGACCCACCUAAUCCAUGCCGAACUUAGAAGUGAAACGCUGUUACGCCGAUGGUAGUGUGGGGAUUCCCCAUGUGAGAGUAGGUCACCGCCAGGUUACUAAUUA
rnacentral:rRNA from 1 species